rnacentral:pre_miRNA from 1 species
CCCUCUUUGUAUUCUUCCACAGCUUUCUUGAACUGCAUCUCUUAGAUUUGUUUUUGCAUGCCACGGUUUCUGGCUGGACGACUUGUGGAUUUGCGGUUCAAUAAAGCUGUGGGAAGAUACAGACAGGG